GACGAACGCUGGCGGCGCGCUUAACACAUGCAGGUCGAGCGAUGAAACUUUAACAGAACCCUUCGGGGCGAAGAUAAAGUGGAUUAGCGGCGGACGGGUGAGUAACACGUGAGUAACCUGCCUUAGACAUUGGGAUAGCCUCGGGAAACCGGGAUUAAUACCAAAUAAAAUCAUAAUGACACAUGUCAUAACGAUCAAAACUCCGGUGGUCUAAGAUGGACUCGCGUCCCAUUAGCUAGUUGGUAGAGUAAAAGCCUACCAAGGCGACGAUGGGUAGCCGGCCUGAGAGGGUGAACGGCCACAUUGGAACUGAGAAACGGUCCAAACUCCUACGGGAGGCAGCAGUGGGGAAUAUUGCACAAUGGAGGGAACUCUGAUGCAGCGACGCCGCGUGAACGAAGAAGGCUUUCGAGUCGUAAAGUUCUUUUAUAUGGGAAGAUAAUGACGGUACCAUAAGAAAAAGCCCCGGCUAACUACGUG
rnacentral:rRNA from 1 species